AACGUAGGACACAAGCGUUAUCCGGAGUUACUGGGCGUAAAGGGCGUGUAGGCGGAUUGAUAAGUCUACUCUGAAAGCUCCUGGCUAAACUGGGAGAGGUCGCGGUAGACAGGCAGCCUGGAGGCUCGGAGAGGUCAGUGGAAUUCUCGGUGUAGUGGUGAAAUGCGUAGAUAUCGAGAGGAACACCAGUGGCGCAAGCGGCUGACUGGCCGAGACCUGACGCUGAGACACGACGGCGUGGGGAGCAAACCGG
rnacentral:rRNA from 1 species